UGGCCAAGAGUAUCAAAACAUCUUAGGACACAGCAACGUUCGCUGGCUGUCCAUGCUCCCUGCUCUAGAAAGAGUGCUUAAAAUGUAUGCACCACUUAAAGGGACUCUUACCUUUGUUGCAUUUUUACACUUUUUUUGGAUAAGGUUAAACUGAAACUGCACCAUUCAGUCCGAUUAGGGGACUCAUCUCGGACUCAGACUAACAGAGUUACCCUCCUCUGGAGCCUCAGGAAGACCUCCAGACUGUUGGCCACCAACUGCACCAUUCAGUCCGACAAGGGGACCCGAUUCGGCCUCAGAAGCCAAGUGGUCCCGCUCCCCUGGAUGAUUCUCAGGACCUCCAGACCGUUGGCAACCAACCGCACCACUUAGUCCGAUUAGGGGACCCGUUUCGGACUCAGACGCAAAGUUGUCCCGCUACUCUGGAGCUCCGGGAAGACCUCCAGACCGUUGGCACCCAACCGCACCACUCAGUCCGAUUACGGGACCCAUUUCGGACUCAGACGCGACGUUGUCCCGCUACUCUGGAGCUACAGGAAGACCUCCAGACCGUUGGCACCCAACCGCACCACUCAGUCCGAUUACGGGACCCAUUUCGGACUCAGACGCGACGUUGUCCCGCUACUCUGGAGCUACAGGAAGACCUCCAGACCGUUGGCACCCAACCGCACCACUCAGUCCGAUUACGGGACCCAUUUCGGACUCAGACGCGACGUUGUCCCGCUACUCUGGAGCUACAGGAAGACCUCCAGACCGUUGGCACCCAACCGCACCAUUCAGUCCGAUUAGGGGACCCAUUUCGGCCUCAGACGCUACGUUGUCCCGCUACUCUGUUUGUAAUGCUCAUACACCUUUCUUAUACUCAGUGUAUCACACGAAGCCCAUAAAAUUACAGUGAGCCACCUGCUAAAUUUCUGGUUUACUAGACCCCUGGUAGAUAUUAUGACCCCUGGGAGUCUAAACAUAACCCAUGGGAGUCUAAACAUAACCCAUGGGAGUCUAGAACUUUUGUACUGUAGCGACCCUGGGACAGUUAAAUAGUUUGUGUGUUAUGUGUUACAUUAUAUUUCGUUGUCCGCUAUGCCAGUUGUUCUAUGUGCAUGUAUUGUAAUGUUCUUCUUGUCAAUCAGUGUGGGGGCGAAUCAUUAGGUCAGCUGGGGGAGGGCCUUGGAAGAACAGGAGGGUGGGGGCCUGCACGCGAGUGACACCGUGUUGGGGGUUGCCGGGGUAACCGGGGUUUGUUUUGUGUCGGUUUUCUGCCGUUGGUUACAAUGUUACGGGUUUCAGUGACCUGGUUUUGGUUCAUUAAAACUACAUUCAACUACUAAUGACUCGACAUCAUUAUGUCACCGGCGAGGUCGUUACAGUACUCACGCUU
rnacentral:lncRNA from 1 species